AAGGUGCCUCCAUUUACAAAUCACCUCCUCCAGGCAGAGCAGCAGAGUGAUCCAGGAGCAACUGCACUGUGCACUCAUUCUACCCCCGGAUAUAGAAUAUCUUGGCCAUGGCCUGACCAUCACUAUGUAUGGACGAAAACAGGGGUAUAAAACCCUUUCCUUCUCAGCUUGAGAGAGAGAGAGAGAGAGAGAGAGAGAGAGAGAGAGAGAGAGAUGCCGCUGUGAAGGCUCAAGCAAAAGUGCAGGGAUGACAAGGAGACAGGCAUGGAUGCAGCCCAGAAAUCCAGUUAACUGGGGCUCCCCAGACAUACACUGUCACUCAUCUGUCAGCUGGGCCCUGGACUCAUGGUCCAGCUUUAGCACAUCCACAGCCCACACAUCCACAGAAACUCAAACUUAACAGUGGCCUGGCCAGGACAGUCCAGUCUCAGGCCUGAGGCCCUUCCUUCUAGAGCUGACAUCCAGGGCUACUCGGAGGGCAGGAGGGGCCCAGACUGCUUCCAUAUUGCUUCUUCCCUUUCUCCUUUCCUUUCUUCCUUUUUUUUUUUUUAAAUACCAGCUAGAAUGAGCUUGUAGUACUUUCAUAUUUCUAGGUUCCCAGUAAAAUAAAAAUGGAAGAAAUGUGAAAAUAGUGUUUCCAGAAUUAUGGCAUUUGCUACUUAUGCUUCGUUCAUUUAUUCAUCAGACAUUUAUGAGGGACUCCUAUGUGUCAGGCCCUGUUUUAGGCCUGAGUGUUGAACUAUUAAGUCUUAUGUAUUUCUUUAUUUAUUGUUACUGUCUUUUAAAAAGAGAUGGGGUCUUGUCAUGUUGCCCAGGCUGGUCUUGAACUCCCGGGCACAAGCAAUCUGGCCACUUCAGCCUCCCAAAAUGCUAGGAUUACAGGUGUGAACCACUGUGCCAGGCCUUAAGUCUUUAUAAUACACAUUUAAAAUGGAUAGCCUCAUUUGGAAAUAACUUUGAAGAUUUAAAUUGUAGUCUUCCUGGUUCUUCUUCUCAGGAGGGACCCCCAUAACCCCUGAUGCCCAUGAUUUUCUCACUGGUAUAGAUUAGGCCUCUGUCUCUUGAUCCUGAGGGGUCAUGGGGGCUGUGAUUCAGAUUGGCAGAGGUGGUAAAGCUCUCCUCAGGAGUCCAGCUAGCACAGGCCUGUCGCUAGUCUAUCCUCCUCGCCCCAUCCUUUCUAUCUCUUACGAUUGGCCCUCUCCCCUGCAGUGCCAACACCUUUAGUCACUGAUUGGUCUUGGUGAAGUGCACUGCCCAGUGGUGACUGAGUCACAGGUUGGCAGGAACUGUUCAGGCUGACCUCACCUCCGGGCCUGGCCAUAGGACACCAGCUGUGGCCACCUGGUGUGAGCCUGGCCGUCUGUGUUGCUAGGAGAGUUGGGCAGAGCCAUGUCGCUGAGUCCAGUAGCUGCCAGCUGGCCCAGAGGUCUGGGAAUCCAGGUGCAGGGGGCCAUAGGGAUUAAAGUCGGAAAAUACAGAUCCGGGCCUGUGAGGGUGAAGCUGGGCUGAGGUUGCUUGGAGGCUCUUGAGAGAAUGUAUUGGAGUGGGGCACAUGAGUCAGCCUCAUGUCCUGGGUGGCUAUUUUCUUGGCUCCUAAAAAAAUCAAAAUUCUUUCUCAUUUCCCCUCCCAAGUCUAGGUCCAUAGCUGUGUAGAUCCAGGACCAGCUGUGGGGAGUUGGAGGCAGAGCUUUCAGUGGGAAUGGAGCUGAAAUCCUCACACCUUGCAUCUCUUGUACCCACCCACAAUGGACAAAAGCUAUUUGAUGUUCAAUGCCUGUAAUGGAACUGGAAUUGUCUGUUUCCAUUUGUCCUCAACUUUUGUUCCAAGAGCUACUGCAGGAACAUACCAGAAAAGCUGAGAGAAUCCACAGACCCUUUGAAGGAACUGGAUCAAUCUUGCAGGCUCCUUGAGAUGCAAAAUAACUGACUGAAGCUGAUGUGCUCUUGAAAGCACCACCUCCUGACAGGAAAGCACCACCUCCUGGCUGGAGGCCAACUGACACAAAACCAAGGCCCUUCGCAGAGUCCACUUCACUCCCCUGCUACUUCCAUAGGAGCAGGUGCUGGUAUCCAUGGCUGCAAUACUUGAAGGUGGAUCACAUCACAGGACUCUGAAGACACUCCCUAGUACCAGUCUAUAGCCCAGCAUCUCCGCUGGGUGGCUAGACCCAGAAGAGCAGAAACAAUCACUACAGUUCAGCUCUCAGAAAGCCCCAUUCCUAGGGGAAGUGGGAGAAUAGCACAUCAAGGGAGCACCCCAUGGGAAAAAAGAAUCUGAACAGCAGCUCUUGAAUUCCAGGCUUCCCUCUGACAUAGUCUGCCUAAAUGACAAAGAACCAGAAAAACAAUUUUGGUAAUAUGAGAAAACAAGUUUCUUUAAUACCCCCAAAAGAUCAUAAGAACCAGAAAUGGAUCCAAACCAAGAUGAAAUCUCUGAAUUGCCAGAAAAAGAAUUCAGAAGGUUGAUUAUUAAACAAAUCAAGGCAUCAGAGAAAAGUGAAGUCCUUCUUAAAGAAAUCAAAAACAUGAUACAGAAUUUGAAAGGAAUAGUGUCAAUAAGGUUUCUACCAGUUCUUCUUUGAAUAUCUGAUAGAAUUCAACUGUGAAUCCAUCUGGUCCUGGACUUUUUUUUUGUUGGUCAUUUUAAAAAAAUUACCAUUUUAAUCUUGCUGCUUGUUGUUGGUCUGUUGAGAGAUUCUAUAUCUUCCUAGUUUAAUCUAGGAGUGUUGUAUAUUUCCAGAAAUGUAACCAUCUCCUCUGGGUUUUCUAGUUUAUAUGUGUAAGGUGUUUAUAGCAGCUUUGAAUAAUCUUUUGUAUUUCUGUGGUAUUGCAGUGGCUUCAUUGUCUGGGGAAAUACCCAGGUUCAUCUCUCACUGUGAAGAUUAACAAUACAGACAUGCACACAUAGAGUAGAUUAAGGAGCAGAAAGUUUAAUAGACAAAAAAAGGAAGAGAGAGUGCCCAAGAGGGUUUCUGGGUUGGGGGUGGAAUUCUAUCCAUUUUAUAGAGAGGCUUGAGGAGGUGGUGUUUGACUUACAUAGGGUGCAAGGGAUUAGUUUGACCAGGUGUGCCAUUUACAUAGCCAGAGAAGAAACUGGCCAUCCCACCUUAAUCUUUUAUUAUGUAAAUGUGACUUCUACCUGGCCGAUGCCAUUUGAACCUUGAUUCCUCAUUGUGCCACACAUAAAACUACUUUAAGAUGGAUCAUAGACUUAACUGUGAAACAAGCAAGCUUCUAAAAGAAACCAUGGAAGCACAGUUUUACAACCUCUGGGUAGGGAAACAUUUUCUUAAAUGGGACAUAGAAAGCACUAACUUAAAUAUAAAAGAUAUAAUAUGUUUGAUUUGUAAUAAUUAAAAACUUUUAUUUAUCAAAAGAUCCUAUAAAGACAAUGAAAAUCAAAGCACAGAUUGAGAGGGAAUAUUUGCAAUACAUAUAUCCAACAACAAACUUAUAUGCAGAAAAUAUAUAGACUUCUACAAUUCAGUGAGGAAAAUACAGAAACACCAAUAGAAAAAUGGAUAAGGACUUGAACAGUCAUGUCACAAGAAAUAACUAAUAAAACACAGAAAAAGGUGCUCAAUAUCACCAGGGAAAUGUUAUUCUAAAUUACAAUGAGAUAUUGCUACACACCCUCCAGAAUGACUGAAAUUGGAAAAGUUAACAAUAACAAAUGUUGGCAAAGAUAUGAAGCAACUGGAACUCUCAUUCAUUUCCCUUGGGAAUGUAAUUUCGUUCAUCCAUUUAGAAAAAUGGUAUUAUCUACUAUAGCUCAAUAUAUGCAUGUCUUUUGACCUGGCAAUUUCACUCCUGGAUUUUUAUUCUAUUUAAAUGAGUGCUUGUGCCCACCAAAAGACAUGUGCAAACGUAUACAAAACAGUUUCAUUUAAAAUGACUAAAAACUAAGAGCAACCCAAUGCUCAUCAACAAAAAUGGACAAAUUGUGGUAUAUUAAAACAAUGGAGUACCACGUAACAAUGACAAAAAUGAGGAACAAUUGCAAACAAGAUAAAUGGAUAUCACAACCAUAAUGUGGAGUAUAAGAAGCAGACCUGAAAGAAUAUAUAUUGUAUAACUUCACUUUUACACAGUUCAAAAGCUGACAAAACUAAUCAAAAGUUAAAGAAAGAAGAGUGGUUAACUUUGGGAGAGUGUAUUGACUAUGAAAGGGCACAUGGAUGCCCUCUGGUAUUCUGAAAAUAGUAUAUAUUUUGAUGUGGGAGGUAAUUAUGUGAAUUUAUAUGGAAGCAAAACACAUUGAGGUGAGUAUUCAGACAUGUUUAGUUUACUCUAUGUUAACUAUAUCUUAAUAAGUAAGUUUUUAAACAAAAGCACAGUGGCUGCCCAUGCCCCUCUACCCCUGCUAGUGGAGAGUUGUGAAGACUGAAGAGGCAGAUACUAUUAAUAGCUUUCUAGUGUAUGGGAGAUGGGCUCAUAUUUGCACCCCUCGUUUAUGGAGCAGGGCACACCAAUUACAAGUCACACAUGGAACCCAUUCAUGCGUACAUUCUUGCUCUCUCUGCAUACCACUAUUUGUUCCUCAAAUUAAAGAGGGCUACAUGGGUGACCUGUGUAUUUGGCCUUUGAGGCUUGUGACAAUAAACUGGGGAGAUGUAUGCUAAGGCUGCCAUAACAAAAUACCACAGCCUGGGUGUCUUAAACAAUAGAAAUUCAUUUUCUCAUAGUUCUGGAGACCAAAAGUCUAAGAUUAAGGUGUCAUCAGGGCUGGUUCCUGGUGAGGCCUCUCUUCCUGGCUGUAGAUGGCCACCUUCUUGCUGUGUCCCCACAUGGCCUCAUCUUUGUGCAAAUGUGGAGAAACACAACUCUCUUGUCUCUUCUUCUUCUUUUUUUUUUGAGAUGGACCCAGGCUGUAGUUCAGUGGCAUGGUCUCAGCUCACGGCAUCCUUUGCUGCCCGGGUUCAAGCUAUU